rnacentral:rRNA from 1 species
CAGUAGCCGCGGUAAUACGAGGGGGGCAAGCGUUGUUCGGAUUAACUGGGCGUAAAGGGCGCGUAGGCGGGUUUUUAAGUCAGAGGUGAAAUCCCAAGGCUCAACCUUGGAACUGCCUUUGAUACUGGAAGUCUUGAGUCCGGGAGAGGUGAGUGGAACUGCGAGUGUAGAGGUGAAAUUCGUAGAUAUUCGCAAGAACACCAGUGGCGAAGGCGGCUCACUGGCCCGGUACUGACGCUGAGGCGCGAAAGCGUGGGGAGCAAACAGGAUUAGAUACCCCUGUAGUCCCUGUCUCUUAUAC